AGGGUUCGAGUUCUGGCUCAGGAUGAACGCUAGCGGCAGGCUUAACACAUGCAAGUCAGGGGCAGCGGGAUGUAGCAAUACAUUGCCGGCGACCGGCGGAUGGGUGCGUAACGCGUAUGCAACCUACCUUAUACAGGGGAAUAACCUUUCGAAAGGGAGACUAACACCCCAUGGUAUUGAUUUAAGGCAUCUUAGAUUAAUUAAAUAUUUAUAGGUAUAAGAUGGGCAUGCGUAUGAUUAGCUAGUUGGUAAGGUAACGGCUUACCAAGGCGACGAUCAUUAGGGGUUCUGAGAGGAAGGUCCCCCACACUGGUACUGAGACACGGACCAGACUCCUACGGGAGGCAGCAGUGAGGAAUAUUGGUCAAUGGGCGCAAGCCUGAACCAGCCAUGCCGCGUGCCAGGAAGACGGCCUUAUGGGUUGUAAACUGCUUUUACAUAAGACUAACCGUAUAUUUGCGAAUAUACCUGAAUGUAUUAUGAGAAUAAGGAUCGGCUAACUCCGUGCCAGCAGCGGC
rnacentral:rRNA from 1 species